CUGUCAAUAAGUACAAAAUAAAAAUUGUAAGUACUAAGAAACUCUUGUGUCAAUUAAUUGGCUUUUUUUUUCUUUUUUAGGGGAGCAUAAAGUUACAACAUGGGUUAUAAUCACUGAUGAGCUACAAGUACCUACUUCCCACAAUCUCAGGAAAAAAAUCAAUAAAAUCAGCUGGCCUGAAGAAUACAACAUUUAAAAAAUGUUAGGCAAAGACUCUAAUGGAAGAGGCUUACUGUGUGCCAUUUGCAAGGCUGAGAGGUGACCCAGAGAUGUUGGCUUCCUCCUCAGGGAUGCUCACCUGGCACUGUCCAGGUGCUGGGGGAGCCCGAGGCUUCCGUGCAGACACAGCCGAGUCCGAGAACCACCCCACGUGCAACCCGUCCCACAAAUGGCACAGACACAGCAUCAAGAAACCCUGGUCACAAAGAUCUGAAUCUCUUAAAGGGGUAGACCCAAGUUCCUGAGAAACACGCGCUUUGCCAGGAAGCACAAGGUGGGUCAGAAAAAGAUGCAGGCCAGCAACUCCAAGUCACGGCCCUUGUGAAGCCCGAGGGCAGAACGGGAACUCAGAUCUCCUCCAGGGCUGCACAUUUUACAGGCAAGGUGGAGGCCUGGCAGAGAAGUCCUUCAAAUAACUGGCUGGACCCACCCCAGUGUGGAAAAAAGAGUGUUCUGUGCACUGUCCAGGCAUCGAAGCUGUGGUGUCUCAGCCCAGCUGGAACCGCUGUGAGUGAGUGAGGAAUGGGGAGGGACCCUAAAAUGCUCUCGACUGUCGGCACACUCUUUAAUAUUAAGCCUCUGUAACCUUGAGUGGGUUCAUCCUUUUAAAAAAAUUUAACCAGUCGGUGUAGGUUAGGUUAUGCUAUGGUAACGAAUGAUGCCCAGACCUCAGUGCUCAAAACAACAAAGAUUUCUUUUAUGUUCAUUCCACCUGCCCAUCUCGGGGUGGCUGGGGCCUCUCCUCCGUAGUCCUCAUUCAGGGACCCAAGUUGAUGGAGCAGCUGCCGUGUGGACUGGUGACAGCAGUCGUGGCAGGAAGACGGCAAAUGUGGCAAACUGUGGGUCGGUUCAUAGAGUCGGCCACCUGAAAGCGACCCAAGUCACUUUCACCCACUGUGGCUUCCCGAAAGGCCUCACUGAGAGGGUGGGGAGGUGCAGCUCCACCAUGCCUCCAGCAGGGGGAGAAUGAGACCGUGGGUGCCAGCCUUAGCG